rnacentral:misc_RNA from 1 species
CGCCCUCUGUUCCUACAAACUUGCUUCCCCAAUAGGGUUUCUAAAACCCUAGUUUUUAUUUUUCGAUUCAUAUUCCUCUUUUCCCACAGAUCCGAGCUCCGUUUCACUCUUCGUUUCCUCUAAGCUAUGGCGACCUUGGUGAGCUCGGCCGGUGGGCUUUUGGCGAUGCUUAAUGAGACCCAUCCUUUGCUCAAGCUUCACGCUCUCUCCAAUCUCAACAAUUUGGUCGACAACUUUUGGCCCGAGAUCUCAACUAGCGUCCCUGUCAUUGAAAGCUUGUACGAAGAUGAAGAAUUUGAUCAGCAUCAGAGACAAUUAGCAGCUUUACUUGUGUCAAAGGUCUUCUAUUACUUGGGUGAACUUAAUGACUCCCUAUCUUAUUCACUUGGAGCUGGUUCACUUUUUGAUGUUUCUGAGGAUUCUGAUUACGUUCAUACUCUUCUAGCUAAAGCAAUCGAUGAAUAUGCUAGUCUUAAGUCUAAGGCAGCAGAGUCAAAUACAGAAGAG